rnacentral:rRNA from 1 species
GAUGAACGCUGGCGGCGUGCCUAAUACAUGCAAGUCGAGCGAACAGACGAGGAGCUUGCUCCUCUGACGUUAGCGGCGGACGGGUGAGUAACACGUGGAUAACCUACCUAUAAGACUGGGAUAACUUCGGGAAACCGGAGCUAAUACCGGAUAAUAUAUUGAACCGCAUGGUUCAAUAGUGAAAGACGGUUUUGCUGUCACUUAUAGAUGGAUGCGCGCCGCAUUAGCUAGUUGGUAAGGUAACGGCUUACCAAGGCAACGAUGCGUAGCCGACCUGAGAGGGUGAUCAGCCACAAUGGAGCUGAGACACGGUCCAGACUCCUACGGGAGGCAGCAGUAGGGAAUCUUCCGCAAUGGGCGAAAGCCUGACGGAGCAACGCCGCGCGAGUGAAGAAGGUCUGCGAAUCGUAAAACUCUGUUAUUAGGGAAGAACAAAUGUGUAAGUAACUAUGCACGUCUUGACGGUACCUAAGCAGAAAGCCACGGCUAACUACGU